UACGUAGGGUGCAAGCGUUAAUCGGAAUUACUGGGCGUAAAGCGUGCGCAGGCGGCUUUGCAAGACAGAUGUGAAAUCCCCGGGCUUAACCUGGGAACUGCAUUUGUGACUGCAUGGCUGGAGUGCGGCAGAGGGGGAUGGAAUUCCGGCGUGUAGCAGUGAAAUGCGUAGAUAUGUGGAGGAACACCGAUGGCGAAGGCAGCCCCCUGGGUCAAAACUGACGCUCAUGCACGAAAGCGUGGGGAGCAAACAGG
rnacentral:rRNA from 1 species